rnacentral:lncRNA from 1 species
GGAUUGAUGACUUAUACUUAUAAACUUGUUAAUAAUUGAAAUCUGAUAAAAAUCUCUUUGUCUUUCUUCAGACUCCUUUAUAGCAAUGCCUUCUGACAGGUUUGAGUGAAACUGAAUGCAAUCCAGAGAGCUGAGACCCUUGUUUUAUUGGGUAAUUGCCUGUAAGACUUGGGAUGGUACAGCUGAAGGUUCUCAUGGAGAAAAAGACCGAUGUUGCACAAGAGGUGAGAUUUCUGAUCUCUCUAGAAGGCCUAAGGGAGUUUCUUUCUAUAGACUCAGGACGUUGUCCCAGCCUUGACCACAGAAAUCCCCAAGAAGCAGACCAGCAACAGGAAGAAAAGGAUGAAGAAGCACAAGUUUAUUGAAAACUCAAGAAGGCUCAGAUCUGCCUUGUAAAAGUACUUAAAAUAUGGCCAUUUCUAGCUCCCCAGAUGGUGAGUUUUUACAUCUAAGCUUGUCUUAAAACUUUCUAGAGAACAAAUGGAAGCAGGGUAGACACACCCUUUUGUCUGGAACUUACACUGGAAACAGGAACACACUUCAGAAAUCAUGUCCUCUCUACAACGAUAUAUUUCAGCAUAAUCUUCAGUAGAAGGAAAAUAGUCUAUUUUCAGAACUAUGUAUUAUACUCAAAAUAUAAGCAAGUCCUCCUUUUAAACAAAUGAAAUAAUUGUGUGUAUGAAAUAAUUGGAUUGUCAUGUGUGAUUGCCUAGAAGAAAUCCUGAAUCUGCACCUAUGAUAACCUGAAUCGGUUCCUGUGACAUACAUUAAAGUUACGACUUUUUUCAUGUGUAGUACAAACUGCUCUGCCAUGUAAUGUUUUCAGAUACGCUGUUUCAUCUGGUUAGAACUAAAAACACCCUUGUUGACAUCACUGUGCAGUUAGCCACGUAAUGCCAAAGUCUUUACAGUCUCCAGUGUUAGGUCCCACAUUUAAAUUAGUCCUUGUCAAAUAAAGCAAAAUGCUGACCCA